GGGGCCUUGGUUCAUCAGGAAGAACGCCUGCUUUGCAAGCAGGAGAUGGCCGGUUCGAGUCCGGCAGGCUCCA
rnacentral:tRNA from 1 species